rnacentral:rRNA from 1 species
UGAGGAAUAUUGGUCAAUGGGCGGAAGCCUGAACCAGCCAAGUAGCGUGCAGGAUGACGGCCCUACGGGUUGUAAACUGCUUUUAUGCGGGGAUAAAGUGAGGGACGCGUCCCUUUUUGCAGGUACCGCAUGAAUAAGGACCGGCUAAUUCCGUGCCAGCAGCCGCGGUAAUACGGAAGGUCCGGGCGUUAUCCGGAUUUAUUGGGUUUAAAGGGAGCGUAGGCCGGGGAUUAAGUGUGUUGUGAAAUGUAGGCGCCCAACGUCUGACUUGCAGCGCAUACUGGUUCCCUUGAGUACGCGCAACGCCGGCGGAAUUCGUCGUGUAGCGGUGAAAUGCUUAGAUAUGACGAAGAACCCCGAUUGCGAAGGCAGCCGGCGGGAGCGCAACUGACGCUGAAGCUCGAAGGUGCGGGUAUCGAACA